GGGUCGCUAGUCUAGUGGUAUAACGUAUUGCCGCGUAUCUCGCCAGCCGGAAAUGGCCUUGGCCAUUCCGGUUGGUGGGAGCCAGUACGAGGUCGUAGGUUCGAAUCCUGCGCGAUUUA